rnacentral:misc_RNA from 1 species
AUAAAUCUUCAUUCUUUGGUUCUCUUCAUCUCCACAAAAGUGAAACAUCUGGUAUGUUAUCCUACAAAACUAUGACGAGGAACAUAUGGACUCUUCAUAAUUCCAGAUAUAUACAAUGAGAUGACAUCACAAGGACCCAAGAAAGAAGUAAGAGAACAAUAUAUUAACCCUCGAUACAUUGAAAAUAAGCCAUAUGCUGAUGAAUUUCUGCAUCGCAUGUGAGAACAACAACCUAGGAACUUUACACUUUUUGUUUAAUUCUAUUAAAAGAGAACUAAGAUAAGCCAUAGAACAUGUGGUCAAUUGGUAUUUUGUGACAGAGCAAUGCAUAGUUAAUUAUGUUUGAUUAACUACUGGAGAUGUCAAAUUUCAAGUUUUUUUAGAAAACAGUUGUGUUGUAUGGAUGAUCACAGUUUAUGAGACCUCAAUACUCGAUAUAACCUUAAUG